rnacentral:lncRNA from 1 species
GUUGAUAAAGGUAGUUCUGAGCAAAGGAAAAAGGCACGACAACAAUAGAUAAUGUGUCAUAAACUUAAUUACAACAACCAUGUUGGGUCAUAUUCAAUUUAGACAUUUAAAAAAUAAAAGAAUCAAACAAAAAGUGUUUCACAAGAAAAAUGAAUUCAGGUUUGGAACGAAUUCUGAAAACGCGCAUCUUUCUUCUCUCCAUUUUCAGAAAUUAAACUACCUCCAAACUUU